CGAUUGGACAGUCCUGGCACCAUAACCAUUACAGCAAUCUGUAGUGGUGAUGGUGCUUGGAUUGUUCCUGUA